AAUGGGCGCAAGCCUGACCCAGCAACGCCGCGUGAAGGAAGAAGGCUUUCGGGUUGUAAACUUCUUUUAUGAGGGACGAAACAAAUGACGGUACCUCAUGAAUAAGCCACGGCUAACUACGUGCCAGCAGCCGCGGUAAUACGUAGGUGGCAAGCGUUAUCCGGAUUUACUGGGUGUAAAGGGCGUGUAGGCGGGACUGCAAGUCAGAUGUGAAAUUCCAGGGCUCAACCCUGGACCUGCAUUUGAAACUGUGGUUCUUGAGUGAUGGAGAGGCAGGCGGAAUUCCCUGUGUAGCGGUGAAAUGCGUAGAUAUAGGGAGGAACACCAGUGGCGAAGGCGGCCUGCUGGACAUUAACUGACGCUGAGGCGCGAAAGCGUGGGGAGCAAA
rnacentral:rRNA from 1 species